CUUAAGGGCGGGGAUUCUGCCUCUGGCACUUAGUGCAGUACGAUGCACGUAGUGAGAGACCAGGAAAUUCAGCAACAGAAUCACUGACAGAACAGGUCUAGAAGGAGAUCAUCACAAACUAAACAGGACCCCAAUGGCCAUGAACAGCAGAACCCGCUUAACUGCUGCCUGAAACGUAUUCAAAGAGAUGAAAGUACAGAAGAGUUCUAGCCUAAAGCCCAACAGCAACCGUGGAGAGUCCAGGAACCAACUCAUCAGCCCUGUCAGAGCUCAUCAAAGAUGAGAUGUCUUCCAAUUGUGGUGAGGUUCAUGAUUGUCUUGAAAACCAAAACACAGCCGAAAACAAAGACCACAGAGAAAAGUAUGGCAGCUGAGCAAGCUGUGAACUGUUCCUGUUCAGAAACCUCCUGCAGGUUAACCAGAGUUGGAGCCUAAUUCCAUCACUUAUAAAAGUGGAGCUGCUUCAGACCUUUCCGAGGAGCAGGAAGUGUAAUGGCCAGGUCAAAAAUCCCAGUUCUAAAACUGCCCAGACCUUGGGCAAAGAAAUUACUUAAUAUCUCAGAACCUAGUUCUCUCAUCUAUAAGAUGAAAUUAUUAAUGUAACAAUAUGUAUUCUUAUAGGAUUGCUGUAAGAAUUAAAUAGUGGUACAAUAUGCUAAAUGUUUGCUAUUAUGUAU
rnacentral:lncRNA from 1 species